GCAGAACGCGAAGAACCUUACCAAGGCUUGACAUGGAUUUCUAAGCACGUGAAAGCGUGUGACCCUUCGGGGGACUUCCACAGGUGCUGCAUGGCCGUCGUCAGCUCGUGUCGUGAGAUGUUGGGUUAAGUCCCGCAACGAGCGCAACCCUUGUGAACAGUUGCCAGCGCGUCAUGGCGGGAACUCUGUUCAGACUGCCCAGAUCAACUGGGAGGAAGGUGGGGACGACGUCAGGUCAGUAUGGCCCUUACGCCUUGGGCUGCACACGUACUACAAUGCCCAGCACAAUGAGAACCGAUGCCGCGAGGUGGAGGAAAUCUGCAAAACUGGGCUCAGUUCGGAUUGGAGGCUGCAACUCGCCUCCAUGAAGUUGGAAUCGCUAGUAAUGGGGCAUCAUCUACGGCCCCGUGAAUACGUUCCCGGGUCUUGUACACACCG
rnacentral:rRNA from 1 species